AUGCUGAAAAUUAAGAGGGGUGGUGCUGAUCUCACAAGAAGCUUGCAUGGGAACAGAAAAGCUAAGAGGGCGGCGAUUAUCUCAAAAGAAUCUCCCAUAGGAUUAGGAGACACAAUCCAGAUCUCAGGUGACUUGCAUAGGCACUCAAAUCAAGAUGUCUUGACUGAGCUCAGUGAUGAAGUUAAAUCAAAUAUGUUGAAAAGUGUUGCCUCACUUGCUGUGUGCAGUGGGGACACACUCUUAUUUGCAUGCUCAGGCAUAGCCAUAGAGCGUGAAUUAUAUGUUACAAAGUUUGUGACUUCACCAAAAUUGGCCCUAGUUUUCAACAGUGCUAGAAUGGAAAAGAAGCAUGACAACGUAAAGAUUGAGGUGCGCCAUGUAGGCAGUGAGGUUUACCAGGGUUUCUUAGACAGCGAUGAUGUAGAUGAACACUUUUCUGUUGUCAAGGUCAAGGCCUUCCUUGAUGUUAAUGUUGGACUUAUUGAGCAUGCUGAGGGGAUUCUGCCUUAUGGUAAGGUGGUAGUUCUAGGCCGUGGCACCUCGGGUGAAUUAAUGGCAAAAAGUGUGAUACUGGCUGGCGACGUAAGUUGUUCUAAAUAUAAUGAAGAUCCUGUGUUGUCUGUGGAAAAAAUAACGAAGGAUUGGGAAGGUGGGCCACUUUUUUCUUUGGAUGGGAACUUUAUCGGCAUGAACCUUUUUCUGGUUAUGGAAAGAGCUUUUUUUCUACCAUGGGGUGUAAUGGUCUAUCUGGUGUAUAACUUUAAGACUCCCCUAGAGAACAGGCAUGGAGAAGGACCCACACAUGAGAUGUUCAAUCGCUAUCAAGACGUUUAUAAAACUGGUAUCGAGCAUAGUCUGUUUGGGGAUGUUGACAAGAUGGGUUACCCCAAGCUACCAGUAACUAUGCUGGAUGAUGGCUUGGUUUUGGUUAAUACUUUUGAAGACACCUUUGGCGACGUAUGGGGUGAAGGUGUCUGGAGGGAACUUGGGAAAAAUGCUUCUGACAUAAGUCGCAUUGUUGUCGCACUUGCUUCCUUCAAUGGUGAAAAAAUGUUUUCUGCAUGCACGGGUUUUUUUAUUCGAUGGAAUGGCUCAACAACCAUUCUGACAUCUGCAAGCCUGGUUAGAGAUCAUUGUGAUGAAAGCAAGAUUGUUGAAAACUUGACGAUUAAAGUAUUGCUUCCAAACAAACUUGUCCGAAAAGGGAACAUAGAGCAUUACAGUCUACAUUACAAUGUCGCUCUAGUCAGUGUCGAGGAUUGCCGUGUUAUCCGACCAGCAAAGAUUCAGCUUGAUUGUAUUGGUAUUUCCCGUGUAGCAGCUGCAGGGCGUUGCUUCAGAUCAGGCACGAUAAUGGCCACAAGUGGGCGUCUGGUUUCCUGGUCAGGCAGGCUUGAUUGCAAGUUCAUUUUACGCUCCACAUGUAAAAUCAGUAAGGCCGGGAUUGGAGGACCCCUUUUUAAUAUGCGUGGAGAGGUUAUCGGCAUGAACUUCUAUUCAGAGAAAAUAGGCACCCCAUUCCUGCUAUGGAAUGAGAUUGGCAACAUCCUGGCGUAUUUUAAGGAAAAGAGUGAUGCUGGUGAGGUUGCUAAGGACAGUGGUUCCUCUUUCUGGAAAAUGGAUGGGGAUAGCACAGUCCGGUUAAACAGGUGGCCUGUGCCGAUGCCAUGUUGGCGUGAUCCUGACGAUCCAUCUUGGAGCUAUCCUGAUGAUUGGAUUACGGAUGCACCCAGGGAUGAGCCGAACAUUGAAAUCCCACCUGGCGAGGAGUUCAGAUACGGAUACAUAAGGGGAACGAGAUAUAGAAACCUUGUAAAGGAGUGCUGGGUUCCCUUGACCAAGAAGUGGUGA
rnacentral:rRNA from 1 species